GACAGAGGGUGCAAACGUUGCUCGGAAUCACUGGGCGUAAAGGGCGUGUAGGCGGGGAUGUAAGUCGGGCGUGAAAUCCCUAGGCUCAACCUAGGAACUGCACUCGAAACUGCGUUUCUUGAGUGCCGGAGAGGAAAGCGGAAUUCCUGGUGUAGAGGUGAAAUUCGUAGAUAUUCGGAGGAACACCAGUGGCGAAGGCGGCUCACUGGUCCAUUACUGACGCUGAGGUGCGAAAGCGUGGGGAGCAAACAGG
rnacentral:rRNA from 1 species